rnacentral:rRNA from 1 species
UACGUAGGGGGCAAGCGUUGUCCGGAAUCAUUGGGCGUAAAGAGCGUGUAGGCGGCCCGAUAAGUCCGCUGUGAAAGUCCAGGGCUCAACCCUGGAAUGCCGGUGGAUACUGUCGGGCUCGAAUCCGGAAGAGGUGAGUGGAAUUCCUGGUGUAGCGGUGAAAUGCGCAGAUAUCAGGAGGAACACCAAUGGCGAAGGCAGCUCACUGGGACGGUAUUGACGCUGAGACGCGAAAGCGUGGGGAGCAAACAGGAUUAGAUACCCUGGUAGUCCACGCCGUAAACGAUGGUCACUAGGUGUGGGGGGUGUCGACUCCCUCCGUGCCGGAGCUAACGCAUUAAGUGACCCGCCUGGGGAGUACGGCCGCAAGGCUAAA